CGAGGCAAUACCUGUUUACCAGGGCGUGUACCUCUCACUUUUCAAACUCUGUUGCACUUAUUUUUGAUCAGCAAGGUCAAAGGGCUUCAUUGCCUGGAACUCUGCAGGUCAAUCAUUAUUAAACAUUAAAAAGUCAUUGUAUGUCAAAGAAAUUUAAUAACAAAAAAACUUUCAACAACGGAUCUCUUGGCUCUCGCAUCGAUGAAGAACGCAGCGAAAUGUGAUAAGUAAUGUGAAUUGCAGAAUUCAGUGAAUCAUCGAAUCUUUGAACGCAUCUUGCGCUCGCUGGUAUUCCGGCGAGCAUGUCUGUUUGAGUGUCGUGAACUCUUCAACCCCCAAUUUUUCAUAUUUUGGCGCGGCUUGGUUUCUGAACGCUUUGCUGGAUUACCUUUGGGAAAUCGAAGCUCGUUCGUAAUACAUUAGCAUCCUAAUCUUCGAGAUCAGAUUGACUCGGCGUAAUAGACUAUUCGCUGAGGACACGGCUUCCCCGUCAAAAGGGAGUGGUGGCUGGACUUGGAAAGCUGGAAGCUUAGAAAACCCGACGAUUUAGUCCCUAAGAUUAGACCUCAGAUCAGGCAGGAUUACCCGCUGAACUUAAGCAUAUCAUUAAG
rnacentral:rRNA from 1 species